AUGAACGCUGGCGGCGUGCCUAAUACAUGCAAGUCGAGCGAACGGACGAGAAGCUUGCUUCUCUGAUGUUAGCGGCGGACGGGUGAGUAACACGUGGAUAACCUACCUAUAAGACUGGGAUAACUUCGGGAAACCGGAGCUAAUACCGGAUAAUAUUUUGAACCGCAUGGUUCAAAAGUGAAAGACGGUCUUGCUGUCACUUAUAGAUGGAUCCGCGCUGCAUUAGCUAGUUGGUAAGGUAACGGCUUACCAAGGCAACGAUGCAUAGCCGACCUGAGAGGGUGAUCGGCCACACUGGAACUGAGACACGGUCCAGACUCCUACGGGAGGCAGCAGUAGGGAAUCUUCCGCAAUGGGCGAAAGCCUGACGGAGCAACGCCGCGUGAGUGAUGAAGGUCUUCGGAUCGUAAAACUCUGUUAUUAGGGAAGAACAUAUGUGUAAGUAACUGUGCACACCUUGACGGUACCUAAUCAGAAAGCCACGGCUAACUACGUG
rnacentral:rRNA from 1 species